CUUGGUCAUUUAGAGGAAGUAAAAGUCGUAACAAGGUCUCCGUUGGUGAACCAGCGGAGGGAUCAUUACCGAGUACUAUAACUCAUAACCCUUUGUGAACCUUUAUACCUGUUGCUUCGGCGGCGCGCCUCCCGGGGCGUGCCCGCCGGCAUUAUCAGAAUCUCUGUUCGAACCCGACGAUACAUCUGAGUGUUCUAAGCGAACUGUUAAAACUUUCAACAACGGAUCUCUUGGCUCCAGCAUCGAUGAAGAACGCAGCGAAACGCGAUAUGUAAUGUGAAUUGCAGAAUUCAGUGAAUCAUCGAAUCUUUGAACGCACAUGGCGCCUUCCAGUAUCCUGGGAGGCAUGCCUGUCCGAGCGUCGUUUCAACCCUCGAGCCCCCGUGGCCCGGCGUUGGGGAUCUGCCCAGGCAGUCCCCGAAAACCAGUGGCGGACCCGUUGGGCCCUUCCUUUGCGUAGUAACAUCUGCCUCGCAUCGGGAGCCUGCGGGCUAUCCGGCCUCUAAACCCCCCUCAAGCCCGCUCCGGCGGCACCAAGGUUGACCUCGGAUCAGGUAGGAAUACCCGCUGAACUUAAGCAUAUCAAUAAGCGGAGGAAAAGAAACCAACAGGGAUUGCCUCAGUAACGGCGAGUGAAGCGGCAACAGCUCAAAUUUGAAAUCUGGCUCCUUCGGGGCCCGAGUUGUAAUUUGCAGAGGAUGCUUCGGGUACGGGUUCCUUCCGAGUUCCCUGGAACGGGACGCCAUAGAGGGUGAGAGCCCCGCCUGGUAGGACACCCAGCCCGUGUGAAGCUCCCUCGACGAGUCGAGUUGUUUGGGAAU
rnacentral:sRNA from 1 species